rnacentral:rRNA from 1 species
GAUGAACGCUGGCGGCGUGCCUAAUACAUGCAAGUCGAGCGAACAGACGAGGAGCUUGCUCCUUCGACGUUAGCGGCGGACGGGUGAGUAACACGUAGGUAACCUACCUAUAAGACUGGGAUAACUUCGGGAAACCGGAGCUAAUACCGGAUAAUAUUUCGAACCGCAUGGUUCGAUAGUGAAAGAUGGCUUUGCUAUCACUUAUAGAUGGACCUGCGCCGUAUUAGCUAGUUGGUAAGGUAACGGCUUACCAAGGCAACGAUACGUGGCCGACCUGAGAGGGUGAUCGGCCACACUGGAACUGAGACACGGUCCAGACUCCUACGGGAGGCAGCAGUAGGGAAUCUUCCGCAAUGGGCGAAAGCCUGACGGAGCAACGCCGCGUGAGUGAUGAAGGUCUUCGGAUCGUAAAACUCUGUUAUUAGGGAAGAACAAACGUGUAAGUAACUGUGCACGUCUUGACGGUACCUAAUCAGAAAGCCACGGCUAACUACGUG